rnacentral:rRNA from 1 species
CCGGCGACCGGCGCACGGGUGAGUAACACGUAUGGAACCUGCCCGCAGCAGGGGGAUAAGCGGAAGAAAUUCCGUCUAAUACCGCGUAACAACGUUGGGAGGCAUCUCCCGAUGUUUAAAGAUUUAUCGGCUGCGGAUGGCCAUGCGGCGCAUUAGCUAGUCGGCGGGGUAACGGCCCGCCGAGGCGACGAUGCGUAGGGGUUCUGAGAGGAAGGUCCCCCACACUGGUACUGAGACACGGACCAGACUCCUACGGAAGGCAGCAG